AUUGAACGCUGGCGGCAGGCUUAACACAUGCAAGUCGAGCGGAGAUGAGGUGCUUGCACCUUAUCUUAGCGGCGGACGGGUGAGUAAUGCUUAGGAAUCUGCCUAUUAGUGGGGGACAACAUUCCGAAAGGAAUGCUAAUACCGCAUACGCCCUACGGGGGAAAGCAGGGGAUCUUCGGACCUUGCGCUAAUAGAUGAGCCUAAGUCGGAUUAGCUAGUUGGUGGGGUAAAGGCCUACCAAGGCGACGAUCUGUAGCGGGUCUGAGAGGAUGAUCCGCCACACUGGGACUGAGACACGGCCCAGACUCCUACGGGAGGCAGCAGUGGGGAAUAUUGGACAAUGGGCGGAAGCCUGAUCCAGCCAUGCCGCGUGUGUGAAGAAGGCCUUUUGGUUGUAAAGCACUUUAAGCGAGGAGGAGGCUACCUGGAUUAAUACUCUAGGAUAGUGGACGUUACUCGCAGAAUAAGCACCGGCUAACUCUGUGCCAGCAGCCGCAGUAA
rnacentral:rRNA from 1 species